AGAUGGAUGCAGCAUCAGCAGCAGAAGGCACCAAGCCCGUUCCCACCGAGUUCAAACAGAAAGACAGCAGACAGUUCAAGAGCAAAGCUCCCAAACCGGGACAGAAACAUCAUGACAACAACCAGGAGGAGUUUGAUGACUCUGCAGUGAUCUGCCCCUGGGAGGAGUUUGGUGACGUAGAGCUGAACGAUGUGGCUCAGUUUGGAACCGUCUAGACCUCACAGAGGAUACUUCGAUCUGAGGAAGAGGAGGGGUUCCAUCAUGCAUGGGUGCAGCAGUCAGAGAGCUUUUCCUACAAACCGCCCCCAUAACUAAAACCCAGCAGAGACAGAAACACUUUCAGUCAGAAAUGUAAAUUAUAACUAAUGAGACUGUAAAUAUUAUAGUUUUAUAAGAGUAUCGUGACGUCUUCUGACAUGAUUUUCUGCCAUUUUACUUUGUUCUGUUCAUGUUACAAACAAAAAUGUAAAUUUAUGAAUCAGAUCAGGCUUCUUUACAUCCAUUCUUCAUUGACUCCAAUUUCAUCCUCUGUAAUUCUAUAAAUCUGUAAUUUCUAC